CAGGAGGAAGGCUCAAGUUUCUCAACCACUGAUGGCACUUCUGACUGCACAGUUGCUGAUGUGACAGAUGGCUUUCACAUUAAACAGAAGAAAGAGCUGACCAAAGAAAUGCUUGGGUACAACACCGAUUGUUCAAUUUUCAGCAUCGACCUCAGCGAAGAUGACUAUGUCCCAGCAUCAUCAGAGGACAGUUCAUCUGAAUCAUCAGAACGCAGUAGUCAGAAGUGACACCGUGUGAAAGAACAUUCAAAACUCCACAAAGUGAGACCAAAGACUUCAUUAGAAUCAAAAAACAGCUCAAAUGGGUUAUCAGGAGCCAAGAUAAAGAAGCAAGGCAGGGAAGCAGGCUUGCGUUCCAGAGAAGAGGAUUCCGAUGAACCAAGACUCAAAAGAGGGACACAUUACAAGAGGAGUGACAAGAGAAGCUUAAGUUCUAGCGAGGAAGAAGAUUCUGUUGAAUCAAGACACAAAACAAAGACGAGAUACAAAAGGAGUGACAAGAGAGGCUCAGGUUCUAGUGAAGAAGAGGAUUCAGGUGAAUCAAGACACACAACAACGAAACGAUACAAAAGGAGUGA